rnacentral:rRNA from 1 species
CAGUCGCCGCGGGAAAACGGAGGGUGCAAGCGUUAUCCGGAUUUAUUGGGUUUAAAGGGUCCGUAGGCGGAUCUGUAAGUCAGUGGUGAAAUCUCACAGCUUAACUGUGAAACUGCCAUUGAUACUGCAGGUCUUGAGUAAAUUUGAAGUGGCUGGAAUAAGUAGUGUAGCGGUGAAAUGCAUAGAUAUUACUUAGAACACCAAUUGCGAAGGCAGGUCACUAAGAUUUAACUGACGCUGAUGGACGAAAGCGUGGGGAGCGAACAGGAUUAGAUACCCGCGUAGUCCCUGUCUCUUAUAC